rnacentral:rRNA from 1 species
AUGAGUUUCUUCCGUGGCGGGCUUGUGGUGGAAGGCGACGACCAGGUGCUGGAGGACCUCCUGACCGGCAAGGAGAUGCAGGCCCGCAUACCGCUGUCCAUGCAACAGGAGAUCCGCGCGCUGCUUGCGCACUUCUCGACGUACGAGCUGCAGCACAUAUACCGCGAGGGCAACCAGGUCGCCCACGUCCUGUGCAAAGAAGCAUACCAGCGACCGGGGGUGUGGAAGAGCGGGAUCGUUCCGCACGCCGUCUGGGAGAAGGCGCUGGAAGACAUGCAUGGGGUGGCGCACGAGCGGAUCUGCAAGAAGAAGCAGCUGUGGUAG